GGUUCUGUGGUGUAGUGGUUUGCACGCAGAGUAUACUUCAAAAUGGUAUCUGUUGGUAUCGAAGUCCAUUUGAAAGGUCCCAGUUCAAACCUGGGCAGAACCG